UACGUAGGGGGCGAGCGUUGUCCGGAAUCAUUGGGCGUAAAGAGCGCGCAGGCGGCUUGGCAAGUCGGGUGUGAAAUCCCGGGGCUCAACCCCGGGACUGCAUUCGAUACUGUCAGGCUAGAGGUAGGUAGGGGAGAUCGGAAUUCCUGGUGUAGCGGUGAAAUGCGCAGAUAUCAGGAGGAACACCGGUGGCGAAGGCGGAUCUCUGGGCCUUACCUGACGCUCAGGCGCGAAAGCUAGGGGAGCGAACAGG
rnacentral:rRNA from 1 species